CCUGUGGGCAGAUUGUGAUGACUCAGACCCCAGGUUAUAUCUCUGUGUCACCAGGAGGAUCAGUCACCAUCUCAUGUACAGCCAGUGCUGGUAUAAGCAGCUACUUACACUGGUACCAACAGAAAUCAGGACAAUCUCCAAAGCCUCUUAUCUAUGGUGCAACCAACCGAUAUACAGGAGUCCCAGACAGGUUCACUGGAUCCGGAUCUGGAACUUCAUUCACACUAACAAUCAGUGGAGUGACAGCAGAAGAUGAGGCAGAGUAUUACUGUCAGCAGGGUUAUACUACCCCUCUCACUUUCGGUGGUGGAACCAAAGUAGAAGUUAAACGAGGUGAAACCCUUAAACCUCAAGUAUUCAUCUACCCUGCGUCUAAAGAAGAGAUCGAGAAAGGAUCUGCAAGUGUUCUCUGCCUGGUCCAGAAUUUCAACCCAGGAGAUGCCAAGGUGGCAUGGAAAGUGGACAACAGUGUCGUAACCAGUGGAGUAAUAGACAGCCAGCAGAUACGGGGCAACGACGGCACCUACAGCAAGAGCAGUACACUGACGUCCAGCGCUCUGGAUUAUAAGAAGAAAGAAUUGUACAUGUGUGAGGUCACACACUCUUCGCAAUCAUCACCGAUAACGGCAUCCUUCAAGCGGUCAGACUGUUCCGUGUAAACAAAGGGUCCAGCAAGUUCUAAAGACUUGUAUCUUUCCCCUUUUACUAUUUAAGUCUUCUUUCUGUGCUGUACGAUGAUUUUUACAACUUACCGGGUGUUUUUGCUGUGUGAUUAGACGUGGUAGACACAAUGUUUUGUAAAUCUUCUUAGCACUUCAAUGGAAAAAUAGAAAUACUUUAUGCUUUUAUCUAUAUGUCAGGAAAAUAAAUAAAAAUAUUCUGCUUCA